ACAGCCGCCUGCGUGAAGGCGUAGCGCCGCCAACAUUGACCGCCCUGCCGUUCGUGGUGCUGGUCGUGGACAUCGUGGUGAACUUCUGGCGCGCACGGGCGCUCCACAAGACAGCCAUGGAAACCAAGAGNNNNACGCGCUGCACUUCGCUUCCGACGUGCUGGGCUCGUUCGCCGUUAUCAUCGGUCUCGGGCUGGCUGCCUUCGGUUAUGCCUGGGGCGACGCCGGCGCGGCCAUCGCCGU
rnacentral:misc_RNA from 1 species